rnacentral:misc_RNA from 1 species
UCGAACGUGUGAGUCAAGGGAGUUGUACCGUCCAGUGAAUGAACAUAUAUAUCAAAUCAAAAGUGGUGUUAUUACAACAGCAAUUAUUCGUGUUUAAAAAAAAUUUUUUUUUUUUUAAUUAUUCGUGUAAAAAUGUUAGAGUGACGUAAAAGUGUGAAUAAUUUAUACCUUUGAAUCCCUCAUCCUGCAAAGGAAAACCUACGUCAAAAAACAACAGCUAUAUAGUUUAAUCAACAACGUUUCUUCUUGGAAAACAGCAAGAAAACAGACAAAAUCCCAGCAUGAACAUUAAACUACAAGGAAUUUCCUUGAUCCUAUGGACCUUAGCCUCUGUAGGAUUCUCCCACGAUCCCUGGGGAGAGAAUCAAAGAGCUAAAAUCAACACGGACUACGUAUCGAGUAAUUCAAACGCAAUCUAUCGAUUCCUUGGGAAUCAAACUCACAAAGACUACUUUAAACUCCUUCGACGAGAUGGAAACUCCCUUCUCAUUGGUGCAAGAAAUGUCAUUUAUAAUGUCAGUCUACCGGACUUGGUUGAAAAUAUUGAGCAGAGAAUAACAUGGACUCCAUCUAAAAAAGACGUGGAUAUUUGUCUCGUAAAGGGACGCUCAGAGGACGACUGUCAAAAUUACAUUCGUGUUCUCGCACGUACCAAAGAGGAUCAACUCCUAGUAUGUGGAACAAAUGCAUUCAAACCAAAGUAUCGAAUUUAUACAAAAAAUGGAUCUUCUUAUCAUGUCUCUGAGGAAUUUUCUGGCUCUGGGAUCUGUCCCUAUGAUCCAAGACACAACUCUACUGCCAUCUACUCUGAUGGGGAAAUUUAUUCUGGAACUGUGGCGGAUUUCUCAGGAAGAGAUUCCAUCAUUUAUAGAGAUCGAGUUCGAACCGUUCAAUCCAAUCUCAAACAAUUGAACAAUCCUGACUUUAUCGGAUCCAUGGAGGAUGAGGAUCAUAUUUAUUUCUUCUUCCGUGAAUCGGCUGUUGAGUACAUCAACUGUGGAAAGACAAUUUACUCUCGUGUUGCUCGCAUAUGCAAAAAUGACAAUGGGGGCCCUCAUAAAUUCCAAAAUGGAUGGACAACCUUCCUCAAAACUCGACUUAACUGCUCCGUUCCUGGCCACGAACAACCAUUUUUCUUUAACGAAAUUCAAUCCAUGACACCUGUUGAUUCCGAUCUUCCAGUUGAAGAUCGCAUCAUUUAUGGAGUAUUUACCACACCCGACAAUUCAAUUUCUGGCUCUGCCAUUUGUGCCUUCAAAAUGUCGUCCGUUGUCAAUGCAUUUGAUGGAGACUUUAGGGAUCAGGAUGAGUCCAAUUCCCUUUGGCUGCCCAUUCCAAAAUCCCGGACUCCUUCACACCCAAGACCAGGCACAUGCUACAACGACUCUCGAGCCCUCCCUUCCUCAACACUCAACUUUGCUCGCCUUCACAACCUUAUGGCACAGAAUGUGAAUCCCGUUGGAGAUAGACCUCUUUUUGUCAAAACAAGUUUGGGAGAGCGUCUCACCGUAAUUGCGUCUGAUGCUCGCGUGAGAGAUGUUCUUGAACCGAGGAAUAAAUUCGAUGUCCUCUUUGUGGGCACGACUGGAGGUCGUGUACUCAAGAUUGUCAACUCUGUACUAAUUGAAUCAAUGCAAAUAUAUCCCUACCAUGUUCCUGUAAGGAACUUGAUGGUGUUAGAGGAUCAUCUCGUCAUUUUGUCUGAUCAUGAAGUCUCCUCCAUUCCUCUACAGCGAUGCAGCCAUCCCUCUGCUCAGUCCUGUGGUGACUGUGUGGCCCUUCAAGAUCCAUAUUGUGCAUGGAAUGUUCUGACAUCCGAGUGUGUACCACAUAAAGGACAAGAUAUCAGCAAAUUAUUACAAAAUGUAGAGUUUGGCUUUCACUCGGGUUGCCCGGAGUCAUCCUACUCUGAGAGUGUCGCACAAAAUGCAUCUUUUCACUUCACCUCACCCACGUCUAGUACCUCUGCAGUCACGAUUUCAACCACAUCUUCAAUGACAGAUCCUUCUGGCCUCUCAAGCUCAUCCACAAAAUCACCCUCGGCGUCAUGCCCCAUUACUCACUGUGAUUGUUCUUCUUCAAAGGCGCAUACUUUUUCCUCGCAUGAUAGAGAAAAGAGUAGCCAAUCGGAGAAUGCAGAUUCCUCUCAGGUUCCUUACUUUGACAAUGUGAACGAAGAGGGGUCCAAUAAUCAAUAUGAAGUUCCAAGACAGUUUAAUAAAAACUAUGGUCCACGUUUCUACCCUCCAACAGCCUAUAAAGAUCGAAACGAAAGAACCAUUUACACGGAGAAAACUUUGGCACUCGCCACCAUUUCCGCUGCAUUUACAGCACUACUCAUUGGAUUCCUUGGAGGGUACUUUAUUUCUAAACGAUGUGAAAAGCCUCUUAAAUUAGAGUUUCUUGAGCGAAGAGCUGGGAAUUUAAAAAAUACAUACAGUUCUCUUCGCCCGGGUCGAACACGCUUGGAGCUAGAGCUUAGUCAAGUCAAUUCUAUUUAAAAAGGACUUGCCUAACUUUCAAAUAAUAAAAUAAUCUUGACAAUUCUUCAAAAAUCCAUGUUUUUACAAAAAAAUAAAAAGAAAGAAAGAAAUACUUAUUAUAUAUGUUGUAUAUAACACUCUAACUUAUUUCAGAGCAGGCGUGGGGCGUGGAGGGGUGAUUGGGAGUGGAGGAGAGCUCGGGCUGGACUCUGGCUACGCAACCCCUUCCAAUCUCAACUCUACCAGUACAAAUAACACCAACUCCUCAACCAACAAUAGCAAAAGUAUAAAUC